GACGAACGCUGGCGGCGUGCCUAAUACAUGCGAGUAGAACGCACAGUUUAUACCGUAGCUUGCUACACCAUAGACUGUGAGUUGCGAACGGGUGAGUAACGCGUAGGUAACCUGCCUGGUAGCGGGGGAUAACUAUUGGAAACGAUAGCUAAUACCGCAUAAUAUUAAUUAUUGCAUGAUAAUUGAUUGAAAGGUGCAAUUGCACCACUACCAGAUGGACCUGCGUUGUAUUAGCUAGUAGGUGAGGUAACGGCUCACCUAGGCGACGAUACAUAGCCGACCUGAGAGGGUGAUCGGCCACACUGGGACUGAGACACGGCCCAGACUCCUACGGGAGGCAGCAGUAGGGAAUCUUCGGCAAUGGACGAAAGUCUGACCGAGCAACGCCGCGUGAGUGAAGAAGGUUUUCGGAUCGUAAAGCUCUGUUGUAAGAGAAGAACGGGUGUGAGAGUGGAAAGUUCACACUGUGACGGUAUCUUACCAGAAAGGGACGGCUAACUACGUG
rnacentral:rRNA from 1 species